rnacentral:rRNA from 1 species
CGACCGUACCGCAAACCGACACUGGUGCGCGAGAUGAGUAUUCUAAGGCGCUUGAGAGGACUCAGGAGAAGGAACUCGGCAAAUUGACACCGUAACUUCGGAAGAAGGUGUGCCUUUAGUAGGUGAACCUGUACAAGGGGAGCCCAAUGAGGUUGCAAAAAAUCGGUGGCUGCGACUGUUUAAUAAAAACACAGCACUCUGCAAACACGAAAGUGGACGUAUAGGGUGUGACGCCUGCCCGGUGCUGGAAGAUUAAAUGAUGGGGUGCAAGCUCUUGAUUGAAGUCCCAGUAAACGGCGGCCGUAACUAUAACGGUCCUAAGGUAGCGAAAUUCCUUGUCGGGUAAGUUCCGACCUGCACGAAUGGCGUAACGAUGGCCACACUGUCUCCUCCUGAGACUCAGCGAAGUUGAAAUGUUUGUGAUGAUGCAAUCUCCCCGCGGAAAGACGGAAAGACCCCAUGAACCUUUACUGUAGCUUUGUAUUGGACUUUGAACAGAUCUGUGUAGGAUAGGUGGGAGGCUUUGAAGUGUGGUCGCUAGAUCGCAUGGAGCCAACGUUGAAAUACCACCCUGGUGUGUUUGAGGUUCUAACCUAGGCCCGUAAUCCGGGUCGGGGACAGUGCAUGGUAGGCAGUUUGACUGGGGCGGUCUCCUCCCAAAGCGUAACGGAGGAGUUCGAAGGUACGCUAGGUACGGUCGGACAUCGUGCUAAUAGUGCAAUGGCAUAAGCGUGCUUAACUGCGAGACUGACAAGUCGAGCAGAUGCGAAAGCAGGACAUAGUGAUCCGGUGGUUCUGUAUGGAAGGGCCAUCGCUCAACGGAUAAAAGGUACUCUGGGGAUAACAGGCUGAUACCGCCCAAGAGUUCAUAUCGACGGCGGUGUUUGGCACCUCGAUGUCGGCUCAUCUCAUCCUGGGGCUGUAGCCGGUCCCAAGGGUAUGGCUGUUCGCCAUUUAAAGAGGUACGUGAGCUGGGUUUAAAACGUCGUGAGACAGUUUGGUCCCUAUCUUCCGUGGGCGCUGCAGAUUUGAGGAAGCCUGCUCCUAGUACGAGAGGACCGGAGUGGACACACCUCUGGUGUAUCGGUUGUCACGCCAGUGGCAUUGCCGAGUAGCUAUGUGUGGAAGAGAUAACCGCUGAAAGCAUCUAAGCGGGAAACUCGUUUCAAGAUGAGAUCUGCCGGGGCCUUGAGCCCCCUAAAGAGUCGUUCAAGACCAGGACGUUGAUAGGUCGGGUGUGGAAGCGCAGUAAUGCGUUAAGCUAACCGAUACUAAUUGCUCGUGCGGCUUGACC